rnacentral:rRNA from 1 species
UAACUGAAGAGUUUGAUCAUGGCUCAGAUUGAACGCUGGCGGCAGGCUUAACACAUGCAAGUCGAGCGGGGGAAGGUAGCUUGCUACUGGACCUAGCGGCGGACGGGUGAGUAAUGCUUAGGAAUCUGCCUAUUAGUGGGGGACAACAUCUCGAAAGG